rnacentral:rRNA from 1 species
AUUGAACGCUGGCGGAAUGCUUUACACAUGCAAGUCGAACGGCAGCACGGGGGCAACCCUGGUGGCGAGUGGCGAACGGGUGAGUAAUACAUCGGAACGUGCCCGGUCGUGGGGGAUAACGUAGCGAAAGUUACGCUAAUACCGCAUACGAUCUGAGGAUGAAAGCGGGGGACCUUCGGGCCUCGCGCGAUCGGAGCGGCCGAUGUCAGAUUAGGUAGUUGGUGGGGUAAAGGCCUACCAAGCCGACGAUCUGUAGCUGGUCUGAGAGGACGACCAGCCACACUGGGACUGAGACAUGGCCCAGACUCCUACGGGAGGCAGCAGUGGGGAAUUUUGGACAAUGGGCGCAAGCCUGAUCCAGCCAUUCCGCGUGCAGGACGAAGGCCUUCGGGUUGUAAACUGCUUUUGUAUGGAACGAAAAGGCUCUGGCUAAUACCUGGGGCUCAUGACGGUACCGUAAGAAUAAGCACCGGCUAACUACGUG